UAGGGAAUCUUCCACAAUGGACGAAAGUCUGAUGGAGCAACGCCGCGUGAGUGAUGAAGGGUUUCGGCUCGUAAAACUCUGUUGUUGGAGAAGAACGGGUGUCAGAGUAACUGUUGACAUCGUGACGGUAUCCAACCAGAAAGCCACGGCUAACUACGUGCCAGCAGCCGCGGUAAUACGUAGGUGGCAAGCGUUGUCCGGAUUUAUUGGGCGUAAAGCGAGCGCAGGCGGUUUUUUAGGUCUGAUGUGAAAGCCUUCGGCUUAACCGGAGAAGUGCAUCGGAAACCGGGAGACUUGAGUGCAGAAGAGGACAGUGGAACUCCAUGUGUAGCGGUGAAAUGCGUAGAUAUAUGGAAGAACACCAGUGGCGAAGGCGGCUGUCUGGUCUGCAACUGACGCUGAGGCUCGAAAGCAUGGGUAGCGAACAGGAUUAGAUACCCUGGUAGUCCAUGCCGUAAACGAUGAGUGCUAAGUGUUGGAGGGUUUCCGCCCUUCAGUGCUGCAGCUAACGCAUUAAGCACUCCGCCUGGGGGAGUACGACCGCAAGGUUGAAACUCUAAAAUGAAUU
rnacentral:rRNA from 1 species